rnacentral:rRNA from 1 species
ACGAAGGGUGCAAGCGUUACUCGGAAUUACUGGGCGUAAAGCGUGCGUAGGUGGUUUGUUAAGUCCGUUGUGAAAGCCCCGGGCUCAACCUGGGAAUGGCAGUGGAAACUAGGGGACUGGAAUCUGGCAGAGGGGGGUGGAAUGCCGCGUGUAGCAGUGAAAUGCGUAGAGAUGCGGCGGAACACCGAUGGCGAAGGCAGCCCCCUGGGCUGAGAUUGACGCUCAGGCACGAAAGCGUGGGGAGCAAACAGGA